rnacentral:rRNA from 1 species
GAUGCAGCCAUGCCGCGUGUAUGAAGUAAGGCCUUCGGGUGUAAAGUACUUUCAGCAGUGAGGAAGGUGGGUAUGUUAAUAGCAUAUUCAUUUGACGUUAGCUGCAGAAGAAGCACCGGCUAACUCCCGUGCCAGCAGCCGCGGUAAUACGGAGGGUGCGAGCGUUAAUCGGAAUUACUGGGCGUAAAGCGCAUGCAGGUGGUUUGUUAAGUCAGAUGUGAAAGCCCGGGGCUCAACCUCGGAAUUGCAUUUGAAACUGGCAAACUAGAGUACUGUAGAGGGGGUAGAAUUUCAGGUGUAGCGGUGAAAUGCGUAGAGAUCUGAAGGAAUACCGGUGGCGAAGGCGGCCCCCUGGACAGAUACUGACACUCAGAUGCGAAAGCGUGGGGAGCAAACAGGAUUAGAUACCCUGGUAG